rnacentral:lncRNA from 1 species
UGCGGGUUCCCAAAAAUCCAUAACUUUUGUCUGGUUCUUGAAUUUAUAUUGAAAAAACUAGUAAAUAUAUAAGAAUUAUAAGUUGGGAACCCACAAACAAAGUGUGUUAUUGGUCUAGUGGUAAAAAUUAUAAGUUGGGAACCCACAACCUUUAAAUUCUAGAUCUGCCUCUUCACACUCUAUACUCAUAAUCUAGAGAACACACAUCACCUUUCAUUAAAACACACAUACAGCUUCAUAAAUGCGCACAGUAAAUAGAGAGCUGGUUGGAGUGAGCAAAAUAAAGAGAUGGGAAGGUGAGAGAAACGAAAUGAAAGAGAGAGAGCAGAUCAGUGAAGAAAAGGUAAGAAAUGGGAGAGAUAUAGAGAGAAUCGAGAGAGAGGGAUAAAAGAGGAAAAUAGUUUUUUCGGUGACAAUGUCACCGGAAUAGUGGCCUCAUCACAAAUUCCGGCCACCCUUCAUCAAAAUUUGUCGGAAAACAGCCAUUUCAUUAUUGCUGGAGCUUCGGCGAGCCACUAGUUUCAUCCCACCACAA